rnacentral:lncRNA from 1 species
GGUGGUAUCACUGGAAGAGCUUGAAGGGGCUCGAGACCCCAUAUGUACAACAAUGCCAAGCAACCAGAGCUUCCAGGGACUAAGCCACUACCUAAAGACUAUGCAUGGACUGACCCUGGACUCUGACCUCAUAGGUAGCAAUGAAUAUCCUAGUAAGAGCACCAGUGGAAGGGGAAGCUCUGGAUCCUGCUAAGACUGAACCCCCAGUGAACGUGAUUGUUGGGGGGAGGGCGGCAAUAGGGGGAGGAUGGGGAGGGGAACACCCAUAAAGAAGGGGAGGGGGAGGGGUUAGGGGGAUGUUGGCCCCAUAAACUGGGAAAGGGAAUAACACUCGAAAUGUAUAUAAGAAAUACUCAAGUUAAUAAUAAUAAUAAUAAUAAUAAAAGCAUCUGCUACAAAAGUUCUCAAGAUAGAAAGUAAAAAAAAAAAA